AAACUAACACAGGACAUCAAUUCAUUGAAGUGCAUUCAAUUCAUUGUUGAAUUUUGAAGUAUAAUUUUCUUUUAUGGUUCAUUGGGUUCCAUGGAAAGAGAGGUAGUCUAAAAAAUUGGGUUGAUUAGACAGAGAUGGAGAUCACAAUUGGUAUUAUGUCAGAGGUAACACUAUGUUGGUAGCACUAAGAAAAGCGGUAGUGCAAUGUUCCAGUGGUACUAAAGUUGAUUAUAG
rnacentral:misc_RNA from 1 species